CAGUCGCCACGGUAAUACGGAGGGUGCAAGCGUUAAUCGGAAUUACUGGGCGUAAAGCGCACGCAGGCGGUCUGACAAGUCAGAUGUGAAAUCCCCGGGCUUAACCUGGGAACUGCAUUUGAAACUGUCAGGCUGGAGUCUUGUAGAGGGGGGUGGAAUUCCAGGUGUAGCGGUGAAAUGCGUAGAGAUCUGGAGGAAUACCGGUGGCGAAGGCGGCCCCCUGGACAAAGACUGACGCUCAGGUGCGAAAGCGUGGGGAGCAAACAGGAUUAGAGACCCCUGUAGUCCCUGUCUCUUAUAU
rnacentral:rRNA from 1 species